rnacentral:rRNA from 1 species
UUGGAGGGCAAGUCUGGUGCCAGCAGCCGCGGUAAUUCCAGCUCCAAUAGCGUAUAUUAAAGUUGUUGCAGUUAAAAAGCUCGUAGUUGAAUUUCGGGAUCAAGGAAUCGGUCAUGCCUUGGUAUGUACUGGUUUUAUUGGUUCUCACCUUCUAAAAAACCAUAAUGUCAUUCAUUUGAUGUUAUGGGGAAUUAGGACUGUUACCUUGAAAAAAUUAGAGUGUUUAAAGCAGGCUUACGCUUGAAUACAUUAGCAUGGAAUAAUGAAAUAGGACAUCAGAUUCUAUUUUGUUGGUUUCUAGGAUCGAUGUAAUGAUUAAUAGGGAUAGUUGGGGGCAUUAGUAUUCAAUUGUCAGAGGUGAAAUUCUUGGAUUUAUUGAAGACUAACUACUGCGAAAGCAUUUGCCAAGGAUGUUUUCAUUAAUCAAGAACGAAAGUUAGGGGAUCGAAGACGAUCAGAUACCGUCGUAGUCUUAACCAUAAACUAUGCCGACUAGGGAUCGGAUGAUGUUAAUUUUAUAAUGACUCAUUCGGCGCCUUACGGGAAAC